rnacentral:rRNA from 1 species
GGAGUGCUUAAUGCGUUAACUGCGGCACCGAGGUUCGACCCCCGACACCUAGCACUCAUCGUUUACGGCGUGGACUACCAGGGUAUCUAAUCCUGUUCGCUCCCCACGCUUUCGUGCCUCAGCGUCAGUUGCAGUCCAGAGAGUCGCCUUCGCCACUGGUGUUCCUCCUAAUAUCUACGCAUUUCACCGCUACACUAGGAAUUCCACUCUCCUCUCCUGCACUCAAGCCCUACAGUUUCAAAGGCUUACUACGGUUGAGCCGUAGCCUUUGACCUCUGACCUAUAGGGCCGCCUACGCACCCUUUACGCCCAAUGAUUCCGGAUAACGCUUGCCCCCUACGUAUUACCGCGGCUGCUGGCACGUAGUUAGCCGGGGCUUCCUCCUAAGGUACCGUCAUUAUCUUCCCUUAGGACAGAGCUUUACGACCCGAAAGCCUUCAUCGCUCACGCGGCGUUGCUGCAUCAGGCUUUCGCCCAUUGUGCAAUAUUCCCCACUGCUGCCUCCCGUAGAGUCUGGACCGUGUCUCAGUUCCAGUGUGGCCGUUCACCCUCUCAGGCCGGCUACUGAUCGUCGCCUUGGUGAGCCAUUACCUCACCAACUAGCUAAUCAGACGCGGGCCCAUCCUGUACCGAAAUUCUUUGACCUUAUGAGGAUGCCCUCUAAAGGUGUUAUGGGGUAUUAGCAAUGGUUUCCAAUUGUUAUCCCCUGUACAGGGUAGGUUGCCACGCGUACUCACCCGUCCGCCGCUAAGUUAAGUUCAUUCACCCGAAGCUUCCUGAAAAAACUCGSUCGAYUUSAUG